rnacentral:rRNA from 1 species
CUAGUAACGGCGAGUGAAGCGGCAACAGCUCAAAUUUGAAAUCUGGCUCUUUCAGGGUCCGAGUUGUAAUUUGUAGAGGGUGCUUUGGAGUUGACUGUGGUCUAAGUUCCUUGGAACAGGACGUCGCAGAGGGUGAGAAUCCCGUAUGUGGCCGCCAGUCUUCGCCGUGUAAAGCCCCUUCGACGAGUCGAGUUGUUUGGGAAUGCAGCUCUAAAUGGGAGGUAAAUUUCUUCUAAAGCUAAAUAUUGGCCAGAGACCGAUAGCGCACAAGUAGAGUGAUCGAAAGAUGAAAAGCACUUUGGAAAGAGAGUCAAAAAGCACGUGAAAUUGUUGAAAGGGAAGCGCUUGCAGCCAGACUUGCCUGUAGUUGCUCAUCCGGGCUUUUGCCCGGUGCACUCUUCUAUAGGCAGGCCAGCAUCAGUCCUGGCGGUCGGAUAAAUGCCUGCUGAAUGUACCUCUCCUCGGGGAGGACUUAUAGCGGUGGGCGGCAUACGACCAGCCGGGAUUGAGGUCCGCGCAUCUGCUAGGAUGCUGGCGUAAUGGCUGUAAGCGGCCCGUCUUGAAACACGGACCAAGGAGUCUAACAUCUAUGCGAGUGUUUGGGUGUCAAGCCCGAGCGCGUAAUGAAAGUGAACGGAGGUGGGAACCCCUCGGGGCGCACCAUCGACCGAUCCUGAUGUCUUCGGAUGGAUU